rnacentral:antisense_RNA from 1 species
CUUUUUGGCGGCGGUGUGCGGGGAGCCGCGAGGCUCGCCGGUCUUCGUGCCCGGUCUGCAAACCCGCACACCGUUCGCCACCCUU